rnacentral:rRNA from 1 species
AUGGCGACCAUGACCAACGAAGAAAUGGGGUCACCGGGUUCAGCACCAGGGCUUGCUCAGGAUGCUCCGACGAUCAUCAGAAUUCCCUUGAGAGCCAUACUUGACAUCGUGCUAGCAGAGCUGGGAAUCCCAGAGGCCGAAUACCGUCGCGAGAUAUGCGACGAUAACAAGAUCUGCGUCACCGUGCUUUUCGACGCCUCUACAAUCAAAGGAGCCCCCGCCCAUAUGUCGAUAUCCGGAACAUAUUCCACGGACGAUGAAGUGGCAGAGGACACAGCUGCUCUUAAAGCCAUUGAGUACUUAGAAACUGCGGCCAAUGUGGUGAUCAGGGACUACAGUUACGACAAGCUGAAACGGCUCGAGGAAGAAACCGAGCGCCUGAUGGAGCAGUUGGAAGAAGCAAAUGGUGCCAUACCCAAGCUUGUUAGGGGCUGGCUGCUUGCUGUCAGAUGUAUGAGUUCAUUCUCUCAUAGUCUUAAGCUACUCCUGGGCAAAGUAUCAUGGAUGAGAUUAUGA